CGUAGACACAGAACCUGCCCGCAUUCAAGCGGAGGCCUAUUGGCUUUAUUUCGCACGCCUGUCUCAGCUGGGUGCCAGGCUCAGAGCCCUCAGGCAUUGUGUCAUCACAGGGAACACAGGAGCAGGGGUUGCCUUGGAAACGUGCCACCCACAGGUCUUGCUCUACUCCAGAAAACCAUCACUUUGAGCUCCUUCAACCCCACCUGCGUUGGGCACUGCCCAUUCUUUGUACCCUGCGAUGGCCCCCGUGUCACACGUGGCACUUGUGAAGACUUCUUGACAUAACCGUCUUUCUUCUGAGACCUUGAGCACCCCCUGGACUGCUGGGGUUUGAUUCCUCUUGCGAAUAAAUAAAGUAGGACUUUGUGAAGAUGUUGCUCAAGCCACGUCUGAUGCUCUACGUCAAUUGAUUGUCAUUGGCCUGUAGAGAGGCCGUCUUCAGGAAACCAUUUGCACUCUAUUGGAUUGGGGAAAUGAUGUCCAACCUAAAUCAAGAGUUAACUAUGGAGAAGGAAACCAUUAUUAAACUCUAAGAAGAAUUAUGCCAAAACAAAGAACUCUACAACUUUAAGAGACUUCCCCUAAAGAAAGCCAGUGGCUGUCUUGUGAGCCCAGUGGAGCAGGAUGCAUGGUUUAGAGCUGAGGCUUCUUCUGACACAUCAUAAGGACUGAAGACGUGCAGCUAACAGCCAUGCGAGUGAGCCAUCCAACAUGCACGUCCUCCAGCCCCACUCAAGCCUUCAAAGCACCGCAGCCCCAGCUGACAACAUGAGGUACCCUGAGCCACAAAUGCUCAGCUCAGCCCCUGACGGAUUUCUGAGCCAUGGAAGCUGUGAGAGCGUGAAUGUGCGUUACUGCGAGAUGCUACAUUUUGUGUGCAUUUGUUACACGGCAUUGGAUGCCUGAGUAAUAUACAUACCAACGCCAUCUUCCACUGUGGGAACAAAAGGAAAAUAUGGAGACUAUGGCUGAGAUGAGAAGCAUCCAGUCCAAAAAUGUCGACAUGGUUUGACGCCGGCGUUGAAUGGGAUCAGUGUCAAGGACAUUGAUAGUACACUGCUAUGAUAUAUCUCAUUCCCUGGCAACUCGUCAGGGCAUUUGAUUCUGAAGUGGCCUGAAGGAGGUAGUGGAAGUGUGGGCUUGUGAGGCGAUUAUUUCAGUGGCUGAAUUAAACCAGACUCUUUUCAGAAGAAUUCAAAACGAACAUGGCUAAACAUGCAAAAUAAACACAGGAUCUUCAGACAUAACGACGUCUAGCUUUGAAGCAUGGUUUGAAGAUUUUCAUGAGGCCUUCCUUUCUACGUAUUCAAAUGCAAUACUACAACUCCAAGAUCAAUAGCAUAUUUGGCUAUCAAACCAGUCUUGCGAUAAACAGGAUUUCAGGGUCCAUCUGAAAUAGUCCUCCCCACUUCUGCCUUUCAAAGUAUUACAUGCUGACCUUCAAAGUCACAUGAUUUCGAAAUGCGACCAAAUCAUGGCCCUCGGCCCUUGCGGUGCUCCACUCUGAGAAUGGAUUACUGGGCAAUGUGCAUCCUCUUGGUUCAUCACACAAUUGUCUUCUGGCAGACCCUGCAUGUAAUUCACGCCUUCUUGGGAAGGCCUAACCCCAAGGAGAGUGCUGCGGAAGGCACUGCUUUGUCCUGAACCAGAACCCGGCAAAUCCAAGCACCCUUCUCUCUUCCUCACCAACAAUCAAGUUAUUCUUACAAAUAAAGGUUCGGCCUGGGUAUCGUUAAAGAUAACCUUUGUGCAAGUGAAGUCCGUCUUUCUCUCAACAUCAUCAGUAUUUGGGGAGGAGUGA